rnacentral:tRNA from 1 species
GUGGUUGUGGGUGGUGAGGGUGAUCACGCCGUCGCUCUCCCCGGCGUCGAUGGCGGGGCGGUGCCUGGCGUUCAGUUCCGCCACAUCCUCC